CUGUGUAUGUCAGGCCUCGCCUCUAUCAGCAUGCCCAGGGCAGCUGUGGCUACAUCGUAGCUCAUCACCACCAGUGUGUGAAUGUGUGUGUGAAUGGGUGAAUGAUACACGUAGUGUAAAGCGCUUUGGAGUCCUUACUAUACCAGUGCGGGUCAUUUAUCAUCAUUAUCAUCUAACCCUCCUCUGUAGUUGUUAAAACAGCAGGUCAGCAAAUCCUGAAUUAUCUAAACUACUCUGGUUGCUAUAGUAACCGCUGCUGGUUUGACAUAGCGUAACAUCUGGAAUGAAGACAUCUGGCAGGCUGGAGUUGAUGCCUCCACCUGCAGUUCCUCUGGGUGACGUCAGAGGGCGCCGCUGAGCUGUAACCGGAAGUACAGGCUGCGGGAGAGCGGAUGUAAACAAACCGAAGCGGAGCGGCUUUGGGCUCGUCCGGUUGAGUUGAGGCGCUCAGGAGGAGAUGGAAACGGCCAGCAGACGAACUCUGGACCGGAUGUGUGCUCUGGUCUUGGCGGCCGUGGUGGUCUUGUCCUGGUCCUAUGUCAUCUACGCCAGCAGGACAGCAGCUGAUUGGCUGUUGGAGGGAAGGACUGCCCUCCUGCAGGGCUCCUGACACUACCUGGUACACCUGGGUCAGAACCAUGCCUCCUGCUGAAGAGGGUCCAGUCUAAAGGGACUCCUGGUUCAGAGCAGGUCCAGACCCAUAGCUGUCUCAUGGUCCUGCUGCUGCAGCCCAGAAGGAUCGCAGGUGGCUGAAGAUCCAGACCGUACCUAGAGGUUCUGAUCAGACUGACGUGCUAACGGCUAGGGUGUGUAGGGUCGUCUGACAUCAGAUCAUGACCAGAUUAUAGUUUCCUGCUGAGCUGAGGUGGAAGUCCAGCAGGACUUGGACUAUAACGGAACAGUCCAGCAAUCCUGAUGAUAGAACAUCUGACAACGCUGUGAGAGCAGCUGCUGCUGCAGCUUCAUGAUGUUGUUUAUCAAUAAAUAAACACGAACUGUACAAUG